rfam:Hanseniaspora uvarum DSM 2768 Contig_283, whole genome shotgun sequence.
AAUAGAGUACAAUUUAAAUACCUUAACGAGGAACAAUUGGAGGGCAAGUCUGGUGCCAGCAGCCGCGGUAAUUCCAGCUCCAAUAGCGUAUAUUAAAGUUGUUGCAGUUAAAAAGCUCGUAGUUGAACUUUGGGCUUGGAGAAUCGGUCCAACUUUGUUGUGUACUGUCUUCUCCUAGGUCUUUCCUUCUGGUUCUCAUUUGGGGUUUACUCCAUUUGUUGAUCCAGGAUUUUUACUUUGAAAAAAUUAGAGUGUUCAAAGCAGGCGUUUUGCUCGAAUAUAUUAGCAUGGAAUAAUAGAAUAGGACGAUUGGUUCUAUUUUGUUGGUUUCUAGGACCAUCGUAAUGAUUAAUAGGGACGGUCGGGGGCAUCAGUAUUCAGUUGUCAGAGGUGAAAUUCUUGGAUUUACUGAAGACUAACUACUGCGAAAGCAUUUGUCAAGGACGUUUUCAUUAAUCAAGAACGAAAGUUAGGGGAUCGAAGAUGAUCAGAUACCGUCGUAGUCUUAACCAUAAACUAUGCCGACUAGGGAUCGGGCGGUGCCUUUUAUUGGCCCACUCGGCACCUUACGAGAAAUCAAAGUUUUUGGGUUCUGGGGGGAGUAUGGUCGCAAGGCUGAAACUUAAAGGAAUUGACGGAAGGGCACCACCAGGAGUGGAGCCUGCGGCUUAAUUUGACUCAACACGGGGAAACUCACCAGGUCCAGACACAAUAAGGAUUGACAGAUUGAGAGCUCUUUCUUGAUUUUGUGGGUGGUGGUGCAUGGCCGUUCUUAGUUGGUGGAGUGAUUUGUCUGCUUAAUUGCGAUAACGAACGAGACCUUAGCCCUUAAAUAGAGUUGCUGGCAUUUGCUGGUAAAUCUUCUUAUGGGGACUAUCGAUUUCAAGUCGAUGGAAGUUUGAGGCAAUAACAGGUCUGUGAUGCCCUUAGACGUUCUGGGCCGCACGCGCGCUACACUGACGGAGCCAGCGAGCUUUUCCUUAGCCGAGAGGUUUGGGUAAUCUUGUGAAACUCCGUCGUGCUGGGGAUAGAGCAUUGUAAUUAUUGCUCUUCAACGAGGAAUUCCUAGUAAGCGCAAGUCAUCAGCUUGCGUUGAUUACGUCCCUGCCCUUUGUACACACCGCCCGUCGCUAGUACCGAUUGAAUGGCUUAGUGAGGCUUCAGGAUUUGCUUAGAUCGAGGGGCAACUCUCUUUCAGAGCGGAGAAUCUAGUCAAACUUGGUCAUUUAGAGGAACUAAAAGUCGUAACAAGGUUUCCGUAGGUGAACCUG